AUACGGAGGAUCCGAGCGUUAUCCGGAUUUAUUGGGUUUAAAGGGUGCGCAGGCGGCCAUUUAAGUCAGCGGUUAAAUCGUGGGGCUCAACCCCAUUCUGCCGUUGAUACUGGGUGGCUUGAUUGCGGUCGAGGUUGGCGGAAUUCGUUGUGUAGCGGGGAAAUGCAUAGAUAUGACGAAGAACACCGAUUGCGUAGGCAGCUGACCAGAUCGCAAAUGACGCUCAUGCACGAAAGUGCGGGGAUCGAACAGGAUUAGAUACCCUGGUAGUCCGCACAGUAAACGAUGAAUACUUGUUUUCGGCGAUAUAAUGUCGGAGGCAAAGCGAAGGCGAUAAGUAUUCCACCUGGGGAGUACGCCGGCAACGGUGAAACUCAAAUGAAUUGACGGGG
rnacentral:rRNA from 1 species